rnacentral:sRNA from 27 species
CCUAUGGAGAGUACAAGAACUUGUAAGUAGUGAUUGACUUACCAACACGAAAGCAUACUCGUUGAAAUAGGAA